CUGUCCUAAACCGGAAGCUGCCCCACUGACCGCUCUAGAACCUGGAUGCAUCGUGGGAGCUGUGGUUUGGCCAGGAAUUCAGCGAAAACUCUAUGGGGCGUCGAGGGACCGAGGAACGUACGCUCCUUAGGCGCUCACACUACACCUCGGAGUUUUUCCUCCCACCGAAAAAGAAAGCAAUUUAGAGCUGGAGGAGGAGAAAGCCGCCCUGGCUUUAGGAUGCUUUUCCCAGUCUCUAUGGAUACUGGCUACACACUUUGGGCGAGAGCCAGAAUUUAGUGGAUUUAGUCUGGAGCAUGUGUCCAUCUACGCAGAAUGAGUCCACAGGUUGGCUGUGAUUAAGCUAAUAAGCUCAUUGGCUGGGCUUGAAUGGGCUCAGUUGGACUCCUGACUUCAGGUUGGCUACAGAAGCGAGGCCUGCAGACUGCUAAUGAGCUCCAUGUCUCCAUCCCGUGACCAAGGCAGAAGGAUUAACUGGGACAUGUUCUUUCAUGGCAGAGGGGAAAAGGUUCAAAACGGUUGGUGGAAGGUCUUAAAGCCUCAGCUGGACAUGUCCAUCCACAGCCUACUGGUCAAAGCAAGGCAUGCCCCCAAGCCUAAAGUCAAUGAGCAGGAAUUUGAAUUCCAUUUACUUUUUUGGGAAGCACUGCAAGGUCACAUGGCAAAAGGUGUGGAAAUUAAACAAACACAUUUUCAGGGAAGGCGUGCUGAGCUGAGAGUAAUCCAAUCCACCCUACUAUAUCUGAACUUUGCUUGCCCUCGCUUGGUCCGUACUGCGUGCGGUGUCUGUUGGCAAGGGCCAGAGGGCUAGUAGUUGUCUCUGUUUUACUUUCUCCAAGUUUAGCAGGCGUGCUGGACAAAAACCAUCCUUCCAGGUAACUUUAUUUAAGAAAAAAAAAACUCUAAGAAGGACUCCAAUUGAGCUGACGGUGGUCUAUACUUUCACCAUACCAAUCACCACAGGCAAGGAGGAUGAAGUCCUCUGAUUGGCCAGCCUAGGCCGCAUGUCCGCGCCUGGUCAUCUGAGGGCUGGGCAGGAGAUGGCGCUAGCUUUGCAGCCUCACCGGGAUCACAUUACAUUGUAGAGAAUGCCUAAAGGAACCGAUGCUGGACAUGGGUACUACAGGCUCUAGUCAUCAUAAGAAACUAGAGGCCUGGGGAGCCAAGUAAAAGCCCAACCCAGUGAAGUCGAUGUGAGUGAAGCUGUCAGCGAAUGCCAGGCCCCGGGCACCUGGGCCACAGCAGCGGGGCUUAGGCUGAAAUUUCUGAUGUGCUUCAGAUCCCUGUUGUGGACCUGGACAAGGACCCUGUGACGAUGUGGAGCUUACUUGGCAUAUGUCCAGCCUUAAAAGCUAGAAAAAGGAAUGGCGGGAGCAAUGAUGUCUGUGAAGCUGUAUUGAUAAAGUUUUAUUUUCUUAUUUUUAAUGUGAAAAAGUAAACACAUCUGAAUCUCAGGGAAAAGCUACGCCACUUCAGCUUCCGGAUUCAGUCAUUCCUGCUUGUUCAGAACCACAGAGUAAAAUGAGCACUGCAUUUACAAAGGUCUAAUCACAAGUGAGGGCACCGUCUCAACCUUUCACCAGGCGUCAAGGUGCGGAGGCCUCCGUAGACUUCGUGACUCAAAACACCAGGCCAGAUGCCAUCUGGGAGCACAUGUGGACUUCCUCUGAUAAAAAGGUAUAAUUUAGUUGAAGCAAUAAAGUUGGUGAGUAAAGCCUUUUCAAAUGAGCUGUGAGUGGAGGAGAGAGGACGCCCCCAGGGCAGUGUGGAGUUGCCCAGAGUGGAAGUGAGGCCAGCACUCUGCUAAUGAGCACCCAGGCAGGAGGAGGGAGAACAGGCUGAGAACCUUUGGCCUCCAAGCAAGGCUUCCAAGGAAAACCAAAGGCUGAGCUCCCCUUUCCUCCUGGUUUAUUCUCUUUCCCUCGGGAGCCUUCCCUGCUCCCCACUCAAAUUCUCAGCCUGAGAAAGUAAUAGCACUCACCUCUCCAAAUUCUUCCAGAGAUUAGAGUGUGGCAGGAGGACAGUGCGCUUCUGGCCUGAGCUUUUGGAGGCCAUAUGACUCCAGAAUGAGUCCGCCUGGUUUUUGUGAAUGAGCCUAACUAAAAUGAGUCCUCUUAUUUUUUCACCAGAAAAAAACAAGAUGCGUUGAGGGGCUCUUCCGGCUGUGAAAGGCUCUUCCGGCUGUAUCCCAGCAACAGCUCAUGAUGUUUCUGACAACUUAGUAGCAUUUAUUUGAGGGUGAUUAAAAACAGCAUGUGUAAAGCA